rnacentral:tRNA from 1 species
GCCUGGGUGGCUCAGUUGGUUAAGUGUCUGAUUUUGGCUCAGAUCAUGAUCUCAUGGUUUGUGGGUUCGAGCCCUGCGUCGGGCU